CGGCGCGCCUAACACAUGCAAGUCGAACGAGCGAGAGAGAGCUUGCUUUCUCGAGCGAGUGGCGAACGGGUGAGUAACGCGUGAGGAACCUGCCUCAAAGAGGGGGACAACAGUUGGAAACGACUGCUAAUACCGCAUAAGCCCACGGCUCGGCAUCGAGCAGAGGGAAAAGGAGCAAUCCGCUUUGAGAUGGCCUCGCGUCCGAUUAGCUAGUUGGUGAGGUAACGGCCCACCAAGGCGACGAUCGGUAGCCGGACUGAGAGGUUGAACGGCCACAUUGGGACUGAGACACGCCCCAGACUCCUACGGGAGGCAGCAGUGGGGAAUAUUGCACAAUGGGGGAAACCCUGAUGCAGCGGCGCAGAAAAAAGGAAGAGGGGUCUUUCGGAUUGUAAACUCCUGUUGUUGGGGAAGAUAAUGACGGUACCCAACAAGGAAGUGACGGCUAACUACGUGCCAGCAGCCGCGGUAAAACGUAGGUCACAAGCGUUGUCCGGAAUUACUGGGUGUAAAGGGAGCGCAGGCGGGAAGACAAGUUGGAAGUGAAAUCUAUGGGCUCAACCCAUAAACUGCUUUCAAAACUGUUUUUCUUGAGUAGUGCAGAGGUAGGCGGAAUUCCCGGUGUAGCGGUGGAAUGCGUAGAUAUCGGGAGGAACACCAGUGGCGAAGGCGGCCUACUGGGCACCAACUGACGCUGAGGCUCGAAAGUGUGGGUAGCAAACAGGAUUAGAUACCCUGGUAGUCCACACCGUAAACGAUGCUAAAAGGGUGUUGGAGGGAUUGACCCCUUCAGUGCCGCAGUAACACCAAUAAGUAAUCCACCUGGGGAGUACGACCGCAAGGUUGAAACUCAAAGGAAUUGACGGGGGCCCGCACAAGCAGUGGAGUAUGUGGUUUAAUUCGACGCAACGCGAAGAACCUUACCAAGUCUUGACAUCCCUUGACAGACAUAGAAAUAUGUAAUCUAUUCGGAGCAAGGAGACAGGUGGUGCAUGGUUGUCGUCAGCUCGUGUCGUGAGAUGUUGGGUUAAGUCCCGCAACGAGCGCAACCCUUAUGGUCAGUUACUACGCAAGAGGACUCUGGCCAGACUGCCGUUGACAAAACGGAGGAAGGUGGGGAUGACGUCAAAUCAUCAUGCCCUUUAUGACUUGGGCUACACACGUACUACAAUGGCGUUAAACAAAGAGAAGCAAGACCGCGAGGUGGAGCAAAACUCAGAAACAACGUCCCAGUUCGGACUGCAGGCUGCAACUCGCCUGCACGAAGUCGGAAUUGCUAGUAAUCGUGGAUCAGCAUGCCUCGGUGAAUACGUUCCCGGGCCUUGCUCUCAAGGCCCGUC
rnacentral:rRNA from 1 species